AUUGAACGCUGGCGGCAGGCCUAACACAUGCAAGUCGAGCGGAUGAAGGGAGCUUGCUCCUGGAUUCAGCGGCGGACGGGUGAGUAAUGCCUAGGAAUCUGCCUGGUAGUGGGGGAUAACGUCCGGAAACGGGCGCUAAUACCGCAUACGUCCUGAGGGAGAAAGUGGGGGAUCUUCGGACCUCACGCUAUCAGAUGAGCCUAGGUCGGAUUAGCUAGUUGGUGGGGUAAAGGCCUACCAAGGCGACAAUCCGCAACUGGUCUGAGAGGAUGAUCAGUCACACUGGAACUGAGACACGGUCCAGACUCCUACGGGAGGCAGCAGUGGGGAAUAUUGGACAAUGGGCGAAAGCCUGAUCCAGCCAUGCCGCGUGUGUGAAGAAGGUCUUCGGAUUGUAAAGCACUUUAAGUUGGGAGGAAGGGCAGUAAGUUAAUACCUUGCUGUUUUGACGUUACCAACAGAAUAAGCACCGGCUAACUUCGUG
rnacentral:rRNA from 1 species